rnacentral:rRNA from 1 species
GGGGCUAGCGUUGCUCGGAAUCACUGGGCGUAAAGGGUGCGUAGGCGGGGUUUUAAGUCAGGGGUGAAAUCCUGGAGCUCAACUCCAGAACUGCCUUUGAUACUGAAGAUCUUGAGUCCGGGAGAGGUGAGUGGAACUGCGAGUGUAGAGGUGAAAUUCGUAGAUAUUCGCAAGAACACCAGUGGCGAAGGCGGCUCACUGGCCCGGUACUGACGCUGAGGCACGAAAGCGUGGGGAGCAAACAGG